rnacentral:lncRNA from 1 species
GGCUUAAAAUUUGUAAGAUGAAGAAACUCUAAGUGCUCCUAGGUUAAAAAAAAAUUCAGGAAUCGACUGACUCCUAUGUUUGAGAUGACGAGAAAAAGUAUGAGACUCAGAAAACUCAAAAAAUCAACGAUCACCGAAGGAUAUUCAGAGAAAAACAGAGAAAAAGAGAAAAAACCUAGAUUCGUCGGAGAAGACAAAAGCUUUGACGGAAACCGGUGAGGGUAACAUCGUAACGAAGUCCCUGAUACCAUGUAAAGAUUAUUGAUUUCCAUGGAUGAACAGAAUAUUUACAGAUGAAAAAGAGAGAGAGAGAGAGAGAAGAACCGAGAGAGCUUCAUUAUUGUUCUUCAGUAAAGAAAAAUUU